rnacentral:rRNA from 1 species
UGGGGAAUAUUGGACAAUGGGCGAAAGCCUGAUCCAGCCAUGCGGCGUGUGUGAAGAAGGUCUUCGGAUCGUAAAGCACUGUAAGGUGGGAGGAAGGGCAGUAAGCGAAUACCUUGCGGGCGUGACGUCACCGACAGAAUAAGCACCGGCUAACUCCGGGCCAGCAGCCGCGGAAAGACAGAGGGUGCAAGCGGUAACCGGAAUUACUGGGCGUAAAGCGCGCGUAGGUGGUUCGUUAAGUGGAAUGUGAAAGCCCCGGGCUCCACCUGAGAGCUGCAUCCCAAACUGGCGAGCUAGUGUAGGGCCGAGGGUGGUGGAAUUUCCUGUGUAGCGGUGAAAUGCGUAGAUAUAGGAAGGAACACCAGUGGCGGAGGCGACCACCUGGGCUCAUACUGACACUGAGGUGCGAAAGCGUGGGGAGCAAACAAG